UACGGAGGUGGCAAGCGUUACUCGGAAUUACUGGGUGUAAAGGGUCCGCAGGCGGCCUAUUAUGUGGAUGGUGAAAUCUUUCUGCUCAACGGAAAAAUUGCUAUUCAAACUGGUAGGCUAGAGGCCAACAGAGGAAAGCGGAAUUGCCGGUGUAAGGGUGAAAUCUGUGGAUAUCGGCAGGAACGCCAGAGGCGAAAGCGGCUUUCUGGGUUGGUUCUGACGCUCAGGGACGAAAGUUAGGGGAG
rnacentral:rRNA from 1 species